GCUUUAAUUAACUUUAUUUAUACUUGCAUUGGUUUUCAUACUUAUCCUAGCCUAUUGUCACAUUUUCUUUUUUUUUUGCAACUGGUGGCAAUAUUUUAUUCCUAUCCCACCAAAUUAUGCAUGAAUUUUAUAUACACAUGCUUAGUUGUCCACUACAAAAAUGAGCUCAUCAAUUAAGUUCCAUGAUGCGCUUCACGCGUGGGCUGGUAGCCUAAUACACUCGAGCACUAAAUUCCAUCGGUUAGUCUCUAGCCACUAUUGUACUAAGGUUAUUCGUAAGUCCCCGUCACCAUGCAUGAGUCACAGUUUGGCAGCCAUGCACUACGUACUAUAAAUUAAACAUAAUUUCUAGAGAUGUGGCCGUCUCUAAUACUUUUUGUCACACGUGGUUUCGAAAGUCCAGCGAACAGAGGAGGGAGGGGGCUCAGGCCUCUUAUGAGUUAUGAACCACCUUUAAAAAUUAAUUUCUAGGGUGUGAUUUGUAAUAUCAACAAGUAGAGAAUUUUUAGAAAUAGACCCACAUUAGGAACCGAACCACAUAU
rnacentral:lncRNA from 1 species